rnacentral:rRNA from 1 species
GCGAAAGCCUGAUCCAGCAAURCCGCGUGCAGUGAAGAAGGCCUUCGGGUUGUAAACUGCUUUUGUMCGGAACGAAACGGUCUGGWUUAAUACUCUGGGCUAMUGACGGUWCCGUAMGAAUAAGCACCGGCUAAYUACGUGCCAGCAGCCKCGKUAAUACGUAGGGUGCAAGCGUUAAUCGRAAUUACUGGGCGUAAAGCGUGCGCAGGCGGUUUUGUAAGACAGGCGUGAAAUCCCCGGGCUCAACCUGGGAAUUGCGCUUGWGACUGCWAGGCUAGAGUACGGUARAGGGGGGUAGAAUUCCRCGUGUAGCAGUGAAAUGCGUARAUAUGCGGAGGAACACCGAUGGCGAAGGCAGCCCUCUGGACCUGUACUGACGCUCAUGCWCRAAAGCGUGGGGAGCAAACAGGAUUARAUACCCUGGUAGUCCACGCCCUAAACGAUGUCAACUGGUUGUUGGGAAUUUACUUUCUCAGUAACGAAGCUAACGCGUGAAGUUGACCGCCUGGGAGUACGGCCGCAAGGUUAAACUCA